ACGGGUGAGGAAUACAUCGGAAUCUACCUUUUCGUGGGGGAUAACGUAGGGAAACUUACGCUAAUACCGCAUACGACCUUCGGGUGAAAGCAGGGGACCUUCGGGCCUUGCGCGGAUAGAUGAGCCGAUGUCGGAUUAGCUAGUUGGCGGGGUAAAGGCCCACCAAGGCGACGAUCCGUAGCUGGUCUGAGAGGAUGAUCAGCCACACUGGAACUGAGACACGGUCCAGACUCCUACGGGAGGCAGCAGUGGGGAAUAUUGGACAAUGGGCGCAAGCCUGAUCCAGCCAUACCGCGUGGGUGAAGAAGGCCUUCGGGUUGUAAAGCCCUUUUGUUGGGAAAGAAAAGCAGUCGGCUAAUACCCGGUUGUUCUGACGGUACCCAAAGAAUAAGCACCGGCUAACUUCGUGCCAGCAGCCGCGGUAAUACGAAGGGUGCAAGCGUUACUCGGAAUUACUGGGCGUAAAGCGUGCGUAGGUGGUUGUUUAAGUCUGUUGUGAAAGCCCUGGGCUCAACCUGGGAAUUGCAGUGGAUACUGGGCGACUAGAGUGUGGUAGAGGGUAGUGGAAUUCCCGGUG
rnacentral:rRNA from 1 species